CUCGUAGUCGGAUUUCGGGGCGGGCCGACCGGUCUGCCGAUGGGUAUGCACUGGCCGGCGCGUCCUUCCACCCGGAGACCGCGCCUACUCUUAACUGAGCGGGCGCGGGAGACGGGUCUUUUACUUUGAAAAAAUCAGAGUGUUUCAAGCAGGCAGUCGCUCUUGCAUGGAUUAGCAUGGGAUAAUGAAAUAGGACUCUGGUGCUAUUUUGUUGGUUUCGAACACCGGAGUAAUGAUUAACAGGGACAGUCAGGGGCACUCGUAUUCCGCCGAGAGAGGUGAAAUUCUCAGACCAGCGGAAGACGAACCACUGCGAAAGCAUUUGCCAGGGAUGUUUUCACUGAUCAAGAACGAAAGUUAGGGGAUCGAAGACGAUCAGAUACCGUCGUAGUCUUAACCAUAAACCAUGCCGACUAGGGAUUGGAGGAUGUUCCAUUUGUGACUCCUUCAGCACCUUUCGGGAAACUAAAGUCUUUGGGUUCCGGGGGGAGUAUGGUCGCAAGGCUGAAACUUAAAGGAAUUGACGGAAGGGCACCACCAGGAGUGGAGCCUGCGGCUUAAUUUGACUCAACACGGGGAAACUUACCAGGUCCAGACAUUGUGAGGAUUGACAGAUUGAGAGCUCUUUCUUGAUUCGAUGGGUGGUGGUGCAUGGCCGUUCUUAGUUGGUGGAGUGAUUU
rnacentral:rRNA from 1 species